rnacentral:rRNA from 1 species
AGGAUAAGGAUUACGCCCGAGUGUUUGGACGGGUGAGUAACGCGUGGAGAACUUGUCCUUAAGUUAGGGAUAACCUGGUGAAAGUUGGGCUAAUCCUUAAUAGUCUGAUAGGAAGGCAUCUUCCAAUCAGUAAAGGUGUGUUUAUACACAUCGCUUUUGGAGAGCUCCGCGUCGGAUUAGCUAGCUGGUAGAGUAAAAGCCUACCAGGGCAACAAUCCGUAGCUGGUCUGAGAGGACGAUCAGCCACACUGGAACUGAGACACGGUCCAGACUCCUACGGGCAGGCAGCAGUGGGGAAUCUUCCACAAUGGGCGAAAGCCUGAUGGAGCAACGCCGCGUGAGUGAAGAAGGCCUUCGGGUUGUAAAGCUCUGUCCUUGGGGAAGAACCGUAGUGAUAGCAAAUGCUCACUACCUGACGGUACCCAUGGAGGAAGCACUGGCUAACUACGUGCCAGCAGCCGCGGUAAUACGUACAGUGCAAGCGUUGUCCGGAAUCAUUGGGCGUAAAGGGUACGCAGGCGGAUAUGCAAGUCAAAUGUGAAAACUACCGGCUUAACUGGUAGACUGCGUUUGAAACUGUAUAUCUUGAGUGCAGCAGAGGAGAGCGGAAUUUCUAGUGUAGUGGUGGAAUCACGUAGAUAUUAGAAAGAACACCAGUGGC